UCUGCAGCUAGACCUUCUCGACUCAGGGGCUGAGGGAGUAUAUCCCGGGGAAGAGGAGACCCUACGGCAAAUGGGAGGUUCUUGUUACAGCAUAAACUUGGGGAGGAGAAAUUCUACCAACACAAAAAACACCAGGGCUUGAGGAGGGUACAUCCAAAAACCAGAUGUCUCCAAUUCAUUCUUUGGUCCUGUCCAAUCUAGAAGUAUGGAACCUGCUAUUAUGGAACCAGCUUAAGUGGCCCCUGAUGAUCGAAAGUGCUCUGAGCAAGCCUGUCGAAAUAUUCCAAGCUCCCGACAUAGAUAGCAACAGUGGCAUCGCCGAGAGGUGUUUACUAUACAUGACGGCGAAAAGCCGAAACGCGUAAUCCAUUUACCUACUUGCUAAGAUGAUUGUCUAAAUUAUGCAUUUUAUUUAUGUUUUGCAUACAGCAAAUCAAUAAAAGUAAAAUUUUAGCCA